rnacentral:sRNA from 1 species
GCUGGGUGUGGUGGCGCAUGCCUGUAAUCCCAGCUACAGGGAGGCUGAGGCAGGAGAAUUGCUUGAAUCCGGGAGGCAGAGGUUGUGGUGAGCUGAGAUUGCGCCAUUGUACUUAGCCUGGGCAACAAGAAUGAAGCUCCGCCUCAACAAAAAAAGAAUUCUCCUAUUGUAUUUGAUUGAUGUAUCUCUCAAGGCUCUUUUUUUUUUUCCUUUGAGACAGAGUCUCGCUCUGUUACCCAGGCUGGAAUGCAGUGGCACAAUCUCGGCUCACUGCAACCUCCGCCUCCUGGGUUCAAGUGAUUCUCCUGUGUCAG